CCUACGGGUGGCAGCAGUGGGGGAUAUUGCACAAUGGGGGAAACCCUGAUGCAGCGACGCCGCGUGUGGGAAGACGGCCCUCUGGAUUGUAAACCACUGUUCCCAGGGACGAAGAUGACGGUACCUGGGGUGGAAGCUCCGGCUAACUACGUGCCAGCAGCCGCGGUAAUACGGAGGGGCCAAGCGUUAUCCGGAAUUACUGGGUGUAAAGGGUGAGUAGGCGGCAUGGUAAGCCAGAUGUGAAAGCCUAGGGCUUAACCCGAGGAUUGCAUUUGGAACUAUCAAGCUAGAGUACAGGAGAGGAAAGCGGAAUUCCUGGUGUAGCGGUGAAAUGCGUAGAGAUUAGGAAGAACACCAGUGGCGAAGGCGGCUUUCUAGACUGAAACUGACGCUGAGGCACGAAAGCGUGGGGAGCGAACAGGAUUAGAUACCCUGGUAGUC
rnacentral:rRNA from 1 species